rnacentral:lncRNA from 1 species
GCGGUCUUCUUGCGACGGGAAAGCCUUCCGUGAAAAUGUGUUUGUCUACCAUGCGAUUUUUUCUUGAUUCGUUUGAUGAGUUGUUUCAGGUUCUUCAUCAUGGAUUGAUGUUUGAAAACAAUCUCGGUAAGCUGUUCAUUUGUGAAGGUGGUUUUAGUAGCAUGUGUAAAGUAUGAACUUAUACGCCUUUGUUUCCUUAAAGAGGGAUGUUUCUUCUUGACCUGUCCGGGUUUGAGAGAUUGCUUAAUACUAGCAGACACCUUCUUCUUGACCCUCUGUUUAGGCUUGACAAUGAGAGGCUCGGAAGUAACUCCACCUAGCCAGACUUCUUU